rnacentral:rRNA from 1 species
UACAGAGGUCCCGAGCGUUGUUCGGAUUCAUUGGGCGUAAAGGGUGCGUAGGUGGCGCUGUAAGUGGGGUGUGAAAUCCCGGGGCCUAACUCCGGAACUGCAUUCCAUACUGCGGUGCUUGAGGACUGGAGAGGAGACUGGAAUUUACGGUGUAGCAGUGAAAUGCGUAGAGAUCGUAAGGAAGACCAGUGGCGAAGGCGGGUCUCUGGACAGUUCCUGACACUGAGGCACGAAGGCCAGGGGAGCAAACGGG